rnacentral:rRNA from 1 species
AGCGAACGCUGGCGGUAGGCCUAACACAUGCAAGUCGAACGGCAGCACAGUAAGAGCUUGCUCUUAUGGGUGGGGAGUGGCGGACGGGAGAGGAAUAUAUCGGAAUCUACUUUUUCGUGGGGGAUAACGUAGGGAAACUUACGCUAAUACAGCAUACGACCUACGGGUGAAAGCAGGGGAGAUUCGGACCUUGCGCGAAUGAAUGAGCCGAUGUCGGAUUAGCUAGUUGGCGGGGUAAAGGCCCACCCAGGCGGGGAUCCGUAGCUGGUGGGAGUGGAUGAUCGGCCACACUGGAACGUGGACACGGUCCAGACUCCUACGAGAGGCAGCAGUGUGGAAUAUUGGGCAAUGGGCGCAAGCCUGAUCCAGCCAGACCGCGUGUGUUGAGAAGGCCUUCGGUUUGUAAAGCCCUUUUGUUGGUAAAGAAAAGCAGCAGGUUAAGACCCCGCUGUUCUGACGGUACCCAAAGAAUAAGCACCGGCUAACUUCGUG